GAUGAAGAACGUAGCGAAAUGCGAUACUUGGUGUGAAUUGCAGAAUCCCGUGAACCAUCGAGUCUUUGAACGCAAGUUGCGCCCGAAGCCACUAGGCCGAGGGCACGCCUGCCUGGGCGUCACACGCCGUUGCCCCCCCAUCUACUCCUUCGGGAUUGCGGGGGGGCGGAUGAUGGCCUCCCGUGCGCCUAGCCGCGCGGUUGGCAUAAAUACCAAGUCCUCGGCGACGCACGCCACAACAAUCGGUGGUUGCGAAACCUCGGUUGCCCGUCGUGUGCGUUCGUCGCGCAUCGAGGGCUCGAAAAAAUGCUCGGCUCCGGCUGGGCUUUCAACGCGACCCCAGGUCAGGCGGGGUUACCCGCUGAAUUUAAGCAUAUCAAUAAGCGGAGGA
rnacentral:misc_RNA from 1 species